rnacentral:misc_RNA from 1 species
UGAGGCACAGUCUGUCAUGGUCAGG